GGCUCCUUAGCUCAACUGGAUAGAGCAACUGCCUUCUAAGCAGUAGGUUUCAGGUUCGAGUCCUGAAGGAGUCA
rnacentral:tRNA from 1 species